AAUACGAAGGGACCUAGCGUAGUUCGGAAUUACUGGGCUUAAAGAGUUCGUAGGUGGUUAAAAAAGUUGGUGGUGAAAUCCCAGAGCUUAACUCUGGAACUGCCAUCAAAACUUUUUAGCUAGAGUAUGAUAGAGGAAAGCAGAAUUUCUAGUGUAGAGGUGAAAUUCGUUGAUAUUAGAAAGAAUACCGAUUGCGAAGGCAGCUUUCUGGAUCAUUACUGACACUGAGGAACGAAAGCAUGGGUAGCGAAGAGGAUUAGAUACCCUCGUAGUCCAUGCCGUAAACGAUGUGUGUUAGAUGUUGGAAAUUUAUUUUCAGUAUCGCAGCGAAAGCGUUAAACACACCGCCUGGGGAGUACGACCGCAAGGUUAAAACUCAAAUGAAUUGACGGGGACCCGCACAAGUAGUGGAGCAUGUGGUUUAAUUCGAAGAUACGCGCAGAACCUUACCAACACUUGACAUGUUUGUCGCGACUUUAAGAGAUUAAAGUCUUCGGUUCGGCCGGACAAAACACAGGUGCUGCAUGGCUGUCGUCAGCUCGUGUCGUGAGAUGUUGGGUUAAGUCCCGCAACGAGCGCAACCCUCACUUUUAGUUGCCACCAUUUAGUUGGGCACUCUGAAAGAACUGCCAGUGAUAAGCUGGAGGAAGGUGGGGAUGACGUCAAGUCCUCAUGGCCCUUACGUGUUGGGCUACACACGUGCUACAAUGGCAUUUACAAUAGGAAGCAAGACGGCGACGUCAAGCAAAUCCUAAAAAGAUGCCUCAGUUCGGAUUGUACUCUGCAACUCGAGUACAUGAAGCUGGAAUUACUAGUAAUCGCGGAUCAGCGCGCCGCGGUGAACACGUUCCCGGGUCUUGUACACACCGCCCGUCACACCAUGGGAGUUGGUUCUACCUUAAGGCAAAGCUUAAAACCUUUGACCACGGUAUAGUCAGC
rnacentral:rRNA from 1 species